CCUGAAGUUCACGUAGUUUAGCCUCUGGAACGUGCCUUGAAUUGCAAGUCAAACAUCCUCCUUUUUUUCAACUCUCCAAGGGUGAAGGACACAACUAAAAGAAAUAUGGUUUCUGGUUGGAAUUGAGUUCAAGCAGGAUACAUAAACAAAGAGAAAGAGAGAGAGGGGGAGAGAUGUAAAGAUGAAAUUAAUAAUGAGGAAUGUUGCAGAGAUUGGAGAUAAAGAGGGGCAAAGUAAGG